rnacentral:rRNA from 1 species
GUGCAUUUUGUAGUGGUUUAAGCCAUUUUAAUGAGUUUAUUUUGGAUUUAGCAAAUUUUUUAUAGAUAUUAGUAGAUGGAGAAGGAAAAUUUUCUUGUCUAAGCUAGAGUAGAUAAGUACCGUGAGGGAAAGCUAAAGAAUAUGUUGAGUCUUUUUUUAGUAGGGGUUAGGGCCCGUACCUUUUGCAUUAUGGUUUUUUAAGAGGUUUUUUGUAUGAAGUUGGCCCGAAAGGGAACGAGCUAUUUUUUGGCUUGCGUCAUCGUUGUAAAGAUGUGCUUAGACCUAAAAAUAGGAGUGAUAUUCUUCUCGCGUUCUCUGAUAGCUGGUUGAUUGGGAAAGGCAUUAGAGUGCUGGUUUAGGGCAUAGUCUGCUGCCAGUAUGGUCUAGUCGGUUGAUGGGCUGUUGGCAGUGGUAUGAAAGCUUUAGGUCUUGCGUAAAAAAGGAUUAGCUUUUUUAUGUUAUUAAAAGUGUAGUUGUGAGUGGAGAGAAGCAGUUUAGUAGGCUUGGAGUUGGCCAUCUUUUAAGUUUGUUUUAAAAUAUUUGUUUGAUUUAGUUAAAAAUUUGUGUGUCGUGCUUUAAAGGGUUAGUCUUGAGUACCAAUUUAGUUAAUAUAAUUAAGGUCAUUAAUGAGAUAAUGAGAGAAUGAGUAUUUAUUUUUGUUUGCUUAUGUUUUAGGCUGUUGAAAGUAAGUAAAUUAUGGAGUAGUGCGUGUAAAUUAAAAAAAUAGAAAUUUAGAAAAGGAACUCGGCAAAUGUUGGCCUCGCCUGUUUAGCAAAAACAUGGCUCCUCGGUUGUUUGAGCGGAUGGGGAGUCGGACCUGCCCGGUGACUUACGGGUUAAACGGCCGCGGUACACUGACCGUGCAAAGGUAGCACAAUCACUUGCCUUUUAAUUGGAGGCUGGUAUGAAUGGUUUGACGAGGGCUGAGCUGUCUCUUCUGAAAUAUUUAAAAAUUAACUUCUAGGUGAAAAGGCUUAGAUUAGGCUGAGGGACGAGAAGACCCUGUUGAGCUUUAGUGUGGAGUGAAGGUUUAUAAUUUCUAGUUGUACUAGAGAAUUUAAAUUCAUUUUUACAUCUUUAGUUGGGGUGACUGGGGAACAUAGGUAGCUUCUCUGUUUUUAGUAGAUUGAAUUUGGUCUGCCGACUGAUGAUCCGGCAUUGUCGAUUAUCGGAAAAAGUUACCACAGGGAUAACAGCGUAAUCUUUCUGGAGAGUUCACAUUGAAAGAAGGGUUUGCGACCUCGAUGUUGGAUUAAGGUGUCCUGGGGGUGUAGCAGCUUUCGUUGGUUGGUCUGUUCGACCAUUAAAACCUUACAUGAUCUGAGUUCAGACCGGCGUAAGCCAGGUUGGUUUCUAUCUUCAGUUUGUUAUAUUUCUUUGGCUAGUACGAAAGGACCGUUUUAAGACAAAUGUUUGAUUUGUCGGAGCUGAAUUAAUCUAAGUUCAGGAUGAGUUAGAUGAGUAUU